GGGUCAGUAGGUUGGUCGUGCCACCGGUACGUACUGGUCUCACUGAUUCCUCCUUCCUGAAGAACCGUAAUGCCAUUAAUUUGGUGUUGCGGGGAAACAGGACUGUUACUUUGAAAAAAUUAGAGUGUUUAAAGCAAGCUAACGCUUGAAUACGUUAGCAUGGAAUAAUGAAAUAGGACGACCGAUCCUAGUUUGUUGGUUUCUAGGAUUGACGUA
rnacentral:rRNA from 1 species